rnacentral:ribozyme from 1 species
CUGACUAAGCCGCAAUUAUCGAAAUUACGAUAUACAGAGCGUCAUCCAAAAAGUAAAACGAAAUAUAGAAAAGAAAAGCCCAUCAAGACUUCGAACGUUUCUUCUUCUUCUUCUCAUAA